rnacentral:rRNA from 1 species
UACGGAAGGCAGCAGUGGGGAAUAUUGCACAAUGGGCGCAAGCCUGAUGCAGCCAUGCCGCGUGUAUGAAAAAGGCCUUCGGGUUGUAAAGUACUUUCAGUCGUGAGGAAGGUGUUAAGGUUAAUAACCUUAGCAAUUGACGUUAGCGACAGAAGAAGCACCGGCUAACUCCGUGCCAGCAGCCGCGGUAAUACGGAGGGUGCGAGCGUUAAUCGGAAUUACUGGGCGUAAAGGGCACGCAGGCGGUUAAUUAAGUUGGAUGUGAAAUCCCCGGGCUUAACCUGGGAAUGGCAUUCAAGACUGGUUAGCUAGAGUCUUGUAGAGGGGGUAGAAUUCCAUGUGUAGCGGUGAAAUGCGUAGAGAUGUGGAGGAAUACCGGUGGCGAAGGCGGCCCCUGGACAAAGGCUGACGCUCAUGUGCGAAAGCGUGGGGAGCAAAUAGGGAUUAGAUACC